CCUACGGGAGGCAGCAGUGGGGAAUAUUGCGCAAUGGGCGAAAGCCUGACGCAGCGACGCCGCGUGGGUGAUGAAGGCCUUCGGGUCGUAAAGCCCUGUCAGGAGGGAAGAACUCUCGCCGGUCCAAUACACCGGCGACUUGACGGUACCUCCAAAGGAAGCACCGGCUAACUCCGUGCCAGCAGCCGCGGUAAUACGGAGGGUGCGAGCGUUGUUCGGAAUCACUGGGCGUAAAGCGCGUGCAGGCGGCCUCUUAAGUCUGGUGUGAAAGCCCGGGGCUCACCCCCGGAAGGGCACUGGAUACUGGGAGGCUAGAGUACCGGAGAGGAGGGCGGAAUUCCUGGUGUAGCGGUGAAAUGCGUAGAUAUCAGGAGGAACACCGGUGGCGAAGGCGGCCCUCUGGACGGAUACUGACGCUGAGACGCGAAAGCGUGGGGAGCAAACAGGAUUAGAUACCCUGGUAGUCCACGCCGUAAACGAUGGGCACUAGGUGUUCGGGGUUUUGACCCCCCGAGUGCCGAAGCUAACGCAUUAAGUGCCCCGCCUGGGGACUACGGCCGCAAGGUUAAAACUCAAAGGAAUUGACGG
rnacentral:rRNA from 1 species